GCAGGCACAUAUACUAAAAUUGGAACGAGACAGUGAAGAUUAGCAUGGUUCCUGCGCAAGGAUGACAUGCAAAUUCGUUCCAUAUCUUU
rnacentral:snRNA from 1 species